rnacentral:rRNA from 1 species
AACGAACGCUGGCGGCGUGCUUAACACAUGCAAGUCGAACGCGAACGAGUUCUUCGGAACUCUAGUAGAGUGGCGCACGGGUGAGUAACGCGUAAGUAAUCUAUCCUGAUAUCUGGAAUAACACUCCGAAAGGUGUGCUAAUACCGGAUACGCUGACUUCGGUCAGGAAAGGUGGCCUCUUCAUGAAAGCUACCGUAUCAGGAGGAGCUUGCGUACCAUUAGCUAGUUGGUGGGGUAAUGGCCUACCAAGGCGACGAUGGUUAGCGGGUCUGAGAGGAUGAUCCGCCACACUGGAACUGAAACACGGACCAGACUCCUACGGGUGGCUG